rnacentral:rRNA from 1 species
CAGUAGCCGCGGUAACACGAACCGUGCGAAUGUUAUUCGGAAUCACUGGGCUUAAAGCGCGUGUAGGCGGGCCGCCACGUCGGCUGCUGAAAUCCCCCGGCUCAACCGGGGAAGUGGCACCGAUACGAGCGGCCUCGAGGGGGGUAGGGGGCACUGGAACUUCCGGUGGGGCGGUGAAAUGCGUUGAGAUCGGAAGGAACGCCCGUGGCGAAAGCGAGUGCCUGGACCCUUUCUGACGCUGAGACGCGAAAGCCAGGGGAGCGAACGGGAUUAGAUACCCGUGUAGUCCCUGUCUCUUAUA